rnacentral:rRNA from 1 species
UUACGCCGCGUGGAGGAUGAAGGUCUUCGGAUUGUAAACUCCUGUUGCCCGGGACGAAAAGCUUUGACCUAACACGUCAAAGUCUGACGGUACCGGGUGAGGAAGCCCCGGCUAACUCUGUGCCAGCAGCCGCGGUAAUACAGAGGGGGCAAGCGUUGUUCGGAAUUACUGGGCGUAAAGGGCGCGUAGGCGGCCUGUUAAGUCGAACGUGAAAUCCCCGGGCUCAACCCGGGAACUGCGUCCGAUACUGGCUGGCUUGAAUCCGGGAGAGGGAUGUGGAAUUCCAGGUGUAGCGGUGAAAUGCGUAGAUAUCUGGAGGAACACCGGUGGCGAAGGCGACAUCCUGGACCGGCAUUGACGCUGAGGCGCGAAAGCUAGGGGAGCAAACGGGAUUAGAUACCCCAGUAGUCCUAGCCCUAAACGAUGAAUGCUUGGUGUGGCGGGUAUCGAUCCCUGCCGUGCCGAAGCUAACGCAUUAAGCAUUCCGCCUGGGGAGUACGGUCGCAGGCUGAAACUCAAGGAUUGACGGGGGCCGAACAA